CUGGAAUGAAAGAAGGAACAUUGCUAACAAGAGACUGCAGGAUUCCCCUUGCGACAAUGAAGACUUCCUGGAUCACAAAGCACAAUCCUCCUAUCCUUCUGUCCAAGCUCCAGGUAUGCCAAGGAGAGGGAGUGGCAGAAGUUUAGGAUCUCAACAGUUUACCAAGAAAUUACUUCAAGAAAACAGAAAACUUUAGAAAAAACAAACUCAUGGUCCACCUUUCAUCUUUCAAAGGAGAGAGCUGAACAUUAUAGUGCACAUGAUUUUGGGAAGUUUCAGGACUGGAAGUGUGUUGGGUUCACUCUGCAAGUAGUAACCAAGACUGGUGAAAACCAGAGUGGGGCUAUACACAGGCUAUGAUGGUCCGAGCUGCUAAACCACGGGUGUAUAGCACACAGACACUCAGGGUGUGACCUGCAUGAUGGUUAAUUCAUCAUGGAGGAGCCACAUCCUUGUGAAGUUUCUCCAGGCUCGGAUGGAGGACCUGACCUUCAUCUUGCGAGACAAGAUCCCGUUGCAAAGGGAGAUUGUGUGGCAAACACAUUGCCAUGUACCUCAGGUUGUCUUUCGACAUCGCCAUGGGGCUCUGUCUCAGGCAGAGGAUGGUUAAGAAGGAACUGAGGGGCAAUCAGGUCAUGCGUGCUAGUCAAGGCGUCAACAGCACCAUGAGACAAAUACUGCGCACGCGCGGCCCUGACAGACACUGCUACCGAAAAUCUCCAAUUGACGGUGAUGGGACACAUCAACAUCUUAAGUGGAGCACCCACAGGGACAGCACUUGAAGAAGAAUUAUUUCUUAUGGACACAAUGAUUGACAGUGAUUUCCUCCCCUCCUUUUUUCACCAACUGAUUUCUUCUGAUACGGAGUUUUGUGUUCCACACUGCUUAUCUCAGAGUAUGUGUUAUACCAGUACCCAAUAAUCUGCACACCUAAUAACACAUUUUCAGGUUUAGUUCAAACUGUUAGUUUUUAGAGUCCUGCAUGGUUUGAAACCCAGUUACUUGUGAGACUGCUUCUCUCUGUGUGUGAUACUGCUAUACUAGCUAUCAGAGAAGACACGCAAGUCAGAGAUCCCUCAGUUUAAAUGAGAAACUGAUGGCAGGGCAUUCUCCAAGAAGAGACCUUACUUGUACUGCUUGGUCCACCAGUGUGUAUUGUUUGUGUUCACUACAAAGCCCAUCUUUUCUCUUGGGUAUCUAGGAGGUAGUCAGUUGAUGGGACAAGAAAUAUUGCUUUAAUGGUAAGGUUAUUAUGUGACAACUACAUUUUAUUAUACUUCUAGGCAGUUCAAUAGGUUAAACCAGUGGUCCCCAAACUGUGGGGCAUACCCCCCGAGGGGGGCAUGGAGGAACAUUCGAGGGUAGGGAGGGCGCCUGGCAGGGCCCAGGUUAGCCCCACAGGGAGUACGGAGGAAGCACCACUCUGCCCACAGUCGCAGCACCACUUUGUCCCCUGCUCUGGCCCCAGCUGCAGCUCUGCUCCAGCCCCAGUUCCACUCCACCUCCAGCUAAUCUCCAGUUCCAGCCACAGUUCCACUCUGCCCCAUCCCCAGUUCUGCCCUCAUUCUCUCUCCCUCCCUAGGCCAGCUCUGCCUCUAGCCCCAGCUUCUCCCCCAUCCCCAGUUCUGCCUCCAGCUCUGCCAUUAGCCCAAGCUCUUCUGCUGAGCCAACUGUGCAGUAAUGGAGGGAGGAUGCGGAUAGAUUCCAUUACUGGUAAGGGGUGUGUGUGCAACAGGAAAUAUUUGGGCACCUCUGGGUUAGACAUUUAAAAAAAUGUACUAAUGUUGUUUUUAUACUGAAUUUUAGACUGACAAUGAAUAACAAAAAAAAAAAAAAUAACCAAAGUGAACUCAUAUGACAAAAUGUUGAAGCCACAGUACUAUAUUGAAAAGAAAAGGAGUACUUGUGACACCUUAGAGACUAACAAAUUUAUUAGAGCAUAAGCUUUCGUGAGCUACAGCUCACUUCAUCGGAUGCAUAGAGUGGAAAAGCUCACGAAAGCUUAUGUUCUAAUAAAUUUGUUAGUCUCUAAGGUGCCACAAGAACUCCUUUUCUUUUUAUGGAUACAGACUAACACGGCUGCUACUCUGAAACCAGUACUAUAGUGGUAGUCUGUAGUGAUUUCUAUAGUUAAGUGAAUUCUAACUUCUGUAUAGGCUUCCAUUUUUCAGAUGCUCAUGUUUAUGUCCAUGUCCACGAUUUAGCUGUGCAAUACUUGGAAAUAAAAAACCCCAUACUGUUGUGGAUUCUAUUCUAUACAGAUUAUUUGAUGUCCCUCAUCAACAUAGUAAUCACUGAAGUGCUCUGAGCAACCUGACUAGUGUUUGUUCCAUGUAGUUCCUUCUUUCUCUCUUCCUCUCUCGAAGGAGAAAUUGUGUGGGUUUUUAAUAAAUAAUUUUAAUAUAUUAUAUGUGAACUCUGUGUUUAUAUUAGCAAAACGAAGUCAUGGUUUGCACUUGGAACUAAAGGUGGUGAAGUCU